rnacentral:rRNA from 1 species
AGUGAACGCUGGCGGUAGGCCUAACACAUGCAAGUCGAACGGCAGCACAGUAAGAGCUUGCUCUUACGGGUGGCGAGUGGCGGACGGGUGAGGAAUACAUCGGAAUCUACUUUUUCGUGGGGGAUAACGUAGGGAAACUUACGCUAAUACCGCAUACGACCUACGGGUGAAAGCAGGGGAUCUUCGGACCUUGCGCGAUUGAAUGAGCCGAUGUCGGAUUAGCUAGUUGGCGGGGUAAAGGCCCACCAAGGCGACGAUCCGUAGCUGGUCUGAGAGGAUGAUCAGCCACACUGGAACUGAGGCACGGUCCAGACUCCUACGGGAGGCAGCAGUGGGGAAUAUUGGACAAUGGGCGCAAGCCUGAUCCAGCCAUACCGCGUGGGUGAAGAAGGCCUUCGGGUUGUAAAGCCCUUUUGUUGGGAAAGAAAAGCAGCAGGUUAAUACCCCGCUGUUCUGACGGUACCCAAGGAAUAAGCACCGGCUAACUUCGUG